AUACUUACCUGGACGGGGUUUUUGGGUGAUCAAGAAGGCCCAUGGCCUAGGCUGGUGACCUCCAUUGCACUUUGGAGGGGUGCUGUGCCUAAGAUCUCCCCAAAGUGGGAGAGUCUACGUCAUAAUUUGUGUUAGGGAGGGUACGCGUUCGCGCGGCCCUCCG
rfam:Macleaya cordata isolate BLH2017 scaffold1835, whole genome shotgun sequence.